GAUGAACGCUGGCGGCGUGCUUAACACAUGCAAGUCGAACGAUGAUCCCCAGCUUGCUGGGGGGAUUAGUGGCGAACGGGUGAGUAACACGUGAGUAACCUGCCCUUGACUCUGGGAUAAGCCUGGGAAACUGGGUCUAAUACCGGAUAUGACCUUCCAUCGCAUGGUGGUUGGUGGAAAGCUUUUGUGGUUUUGGAUGGACUCGCGGCCUAUCAGCUUGUUGGUGGGGUAAUGGCCUACCAAGGCGACGACGGGUAGCCGGCCUGAGAGGGUGACCGGCCACACUGGGACUGAGACACGGCCCAGACUCCUACGGGAGGCAGCAGUGGGGAAUAUUGCACAAUGGGCGCAAGCCUGAUGCAGCGACGCCGCGUGAGGGAUGACGGCCUUCGGGUUGUAAACCUCUUUCAGUAGGGAAGAAGCGUAAGUGACGGUACCUGCAGAAGAAGCGCCGGCUAACUACGUGCCAGCCGCCGCCGUAA
rnacentral:rRNA from 1 species